rnacentral:lncRNA from 1 species
AGGUGGAGAGAGACAUUUUCAGCCAUGAGGAGAGUUAGGGAGAGAUGGAACCUCGUAUCUUCACAGAAGGUGGGGCUGGCCAGUUUGCCUAAAGCAUGGCAUGAAGGGGUGAUCAAUGAAGCCAUUGCAUCAAAGGCAAGGUCUCCUACACCAUGGAAAGGAGCCGAAAUAUGUAGCAUCUUUACUUUGGAAGAGCAUGUUCUGAUGACUUAAGCACACAUCUAAAGUUUGGAAGAACGAAGGUCUUAUUAGAAGGUUCUGGGACAGGUAGUCCAGGAAGCUUAACUAUAGCUUAUCUUGAAUGAGCAUCAAUUCAGAGCUAAGGAUUGCAGCAGUGUUCGAGGAUGAAUUCUGUUCUGGGAUGGGGGGGGGGGUUGGGGGGGGG